rnacentral:rRNA from 1 species
UACGUAGGGGGCAAGCGUUGUCCGGAAUUAUUGGGCGUAAAGCGCGUGUAGGCGGUCCGGUAAGUCGGUUGUGAAAGUCCAGGGCUCAACCCUGGGAUGCCGACCGAUACUGUCGGACUAGAGUUCGGAAGAGGCGAGUGGAAUUCCCGGUGUAGCGGUGAAAUGCGCAGAUAUCGGGAGGAACACCAAUGGCGAAGGCAGCUCGCUGGGACGUUACUGACGCUGAGACGCGAGAGCGUGGGGAGCAAACAGG